rnacentral:rRNA from 1 species
UACGAAGGUGGCAAGCGUUGUUCGGAUUCACUGGGCGUACAGGGUGUGUAGGCGGUUUGGUAAGCCUUUUGUGAAAGCUUCGGGCCUAACCCGGAAAGCGCAGAGGGGACUGCCAGGCUAGAGGACGGGAGAGGAGCGCGGAAUUCCCGGUGUAGCGGUGAAAUGCGUAGAGAUCGGGAGGAAGGCCGGUGGCGAAGGCGGCGCUCUGGAACGUAUCUGACGCUGAGACACGAAAGCGUGGGGAGCAAACAGGAUUAGAUACCCUGGUAGUCCACGCCCUAAACUAUGGACACUAAGUGUCGGCGGUUUACCGCCGGUGCCGCAGCUAACGCAGUAAGUGUCCCGCCUGGGAAGUACGGCCGCAAGGUUGAAGCUCAAAUGAAUGGAC